rnacentral:rRNA from 1 species
UACGUAGGGUGCAAGCGUUGUCCGGAAUUAUUGGGCGUAAAGAGCUCGUAGGCGGUUUGUCGCGUCGGAUGUGAAAACCCGGGGCUUAACCCCGGGCCUGCAUUCGAUACGGGCUGACUAGAGUACGGCAGGGGAGACUGGAAUUCCUGGUGUAGCGGUGAAAUGCGCAGAUAUCAGGAGGAACACCGGUGGCGAAGGCGGGUCUCUGGGCCGAUACUGACGCUGAGGAGCGAAAGCGUGGGGAGCGAACAGG